rnacentral:rRNA from 1 species
UACGGAGGGGGCUAGCGUUGUUCGGAAUUACUGGGCGUAAAGCGCACGUAGGCGGCUUUGUAAGUUAGAGGUGAAAGCCCAGGGCUUAACCCUGGAAUUGCCUUUAAGACUGCAUCGCUAGAAUUGUGGAGAGGUAAGUGGAAUUCCGAGUGUAGAGGUGAAAUUCGUAGAUAUUCGGAAGAACACCAGUGGCGAAGGCGACUUACUGGGACACA